UACAGAUACAAUAGUUUUCUUGUCUGUCAUUUCAGGCCCAUGCAUGAAAUCACCUUUUCAACCAUUGACAAGCCAAAACUUCUCAGUGAGCUGACAUCUCUGCUUGGUGAGCUUGGUCUAAACAUUCAAGAAGCACAUGCAUUUUCAACAAAUGAUGGCUACUCACUUGAUGUCUUCGUUGUUGUCGGUUGGCAUGAUGAGG